rnacentral:snRNA from 1 species
GAUUAUUAGACAGGGAUCUGGCUGUGAGAUAUCACCCUGCUGAUUUGCUGGAUUGCAAGGAUGGAAUUUUUUUUCCUUCUCUCUCACUGAGCCAUGUGCAUCCUUUCUGAAGCUAUGCACUUGGUCAAAAAAAUAUGGUUUUCCCAGAAGAAAUAGAAUUCUUUAGUCAACAUGGUAUAUGUCUAGCUGAACUUCUCUGCCAGAACAUCUAGAUUGUCUUAGCUAAGGAAAAGCAACAUAUUCUAACUGUCCAAAAAUAUGAAGAAAGAGUUUUCAAGAGAAGAAAUUCAAGUUAU